rnacentral:tRNA from 1 species
AGUAGUGAAGUAAAAAUUACAUUUAGUUUCGACCUAAAAAUCAGAGGUAUCCCCUCCUUACUU